rnacentral:rRNA from 1 species
UGGGGAAUAUUGGACAAUGGGGGCAACCCUGAUCCAGCGAUGCCGCGUGUGUGAAGAAGGCCUGCGGGUUGUAAAGCACUUUAGUUGGGGAGGAAAGGUAUGUACUGCAUAAGUGCAUGCUGUGACGUUACCCAAAGAAUAAGCACCGGCAAACUCUGUGCCAGCAGCCGCGGUAAUACAGAGGGUGCAAGCGUUAAUCGGAUUUACUGGGCGUAAAGGGCGCGUAGGCGGCAUGACAAGUCACUUGUGAAAUCUCUGGGCUUAACCCAGAACGGCCAAGUGAUACUGUCGCGCUAGAGUGCAGAAGGGGCAAUCGGAAUUCUUGGUGUAGCGGUGAAAUGCGUAGAUAUCAAGAGGAACACCUGAGGUGAAGACGGGUUGCUGGGCUGACACUGACGCUGAGGCGCGAAAGCCAGGGGAGCAAACGGGAUUAGAUACCCCGGUAGUCCCUGAGCGGGCUGGCAAGGCGCAU